rnacentral:rRNA from 1 species
GACGAACGCUGGCGGCGUGCCUAAUACAUGCAAGUCGAACGCAGUGGGGACGGGUGAGUAACACGUGGGUAACCUCCCAUCAGAGGGGAUAACACUUGGAAACAGGUGCUAAACCGAUACUGAUGGAUGGACCCUCGGUGCAUUAGCUAGUUGGUGAGGUAACGGCUCACCAAGGCCAAGAUUCAUGGCCGGGCUGAGAGGAUGAUCAGCCACACUGGGACUGAGACACGGCCCAGACUCCUACGGGAGGCAGCAGUAGGGAAUCUUCGACAAUGGGCGAAAGUCUGACCGAGCAACGCCGCGUGAGUGAAGAAGGUUUUCGGAUCGUAAAGCUCUGUUGUUAGAGAGGCGGUACCUAACCAGGAAGCCACGGCUAACUACGUGCCAGCAGCCGCGGUAAUUC